GCGAUAUAGGAAGCAUUUAUUGAGAAAAUGAAGAAAGAGAAAAAUUAUUGAUUAAGACUCUUUUGAAUAUCAGAAUGAAAUAUAUAUACAAGGUAUGUCAGGCUUCUGAAAUGGUAGUUUUGAUAUUUAAAGUCAAUGAAAAAAGUGAGUGCCGAUUACAUAAAGUCUCAAAAUGAAUUUAUAGAUUAAAGCUUUAGCUAUUUCUGCUACAGCCAGCAUUUUUUAUUUUAUUCCAGUAUGCAUUAGUGGCACUUUUGUUACAGCCUUCAGGACCUCCAUUAUGCAUACGUGCAUAAUCUUCACAAGUUGUUCCACAAGUCGAAUCUCCAUAACGAUUCAUGUAAGCCUGAACACAUUCUUUGGCACAAUCAUAAUCCUUUGUACACUCUUCAUAACC
rnacentral:lncRNA from 1 species